rnacentral:rRNA from 1 species
GCAAGUCGAGCGAACAGAAGGGAGCUUGCUCCCGGAUGUUAGCGGCGGACGGGUGAGUAACACGUGGGUAACCUGCCUGUAAGACUGGGAUAACUCCGGGAAACCGGAGCUAAUACCGGAUAGUUCCUUGAACCGCAUGGUUCAAGGAUGAAAGACGGUUUCGGCUGUCACUUACAGAUGGACCCGCGGCGCAUUAGCUAGUUGGUGGGGUAAUGGCUCACCAAGGCGACGAUGCGUAGCCGACCUGAGAGGGUGAUCGGCCACACUGGGACUGAGACACGGCCCAGACUCCUACGGGAGGCAGCAGUAGGGAAUCUUCCGCAAUGGACGAAAGUCUGACGGAGCAACGCCGCGUGAGUGAUGAAGGUUUUCGGAUCGUAAAGCUCUGUUGUUAGGGAAGAACAAGUGCGAGAGUAACUGCUCGCACCUUGACGGUACCUAACCAGAAAGCCACGGCUAACUACGUGCCAGCAGCCGCGGUAAUACGUAGGUGGCAAGCGUUGUCCGGAAUUAUUGGGCGUAAAGGGCUCGCAGGCGGUUUCUUAAGUCUGAUGUGAAAGCCCCCGGCUCAACCGGGGAGGGUCAUUGGAAACUGGGAAACUUGAGUGCAGAAGAGGAGAGUGGAAUUCCACGUGUAGCGGUGAAAUGCGUAGAGAUGUGGAGGAACACCAGUGGCGAAGGCGACUCUCUGGUCUGUAACUGACGCUGAGGAGCGAAAGCGU